UUUUCAAAGCUUGGUGAUGAGUGUUAAAUGAUUGGUGAUCACAGAAUAUGACAUCUGCUGGUCCUAAGGUUUCAGUGCUGAUAUUGUCUGUCUCUUGUUUAGUGUCGAUGCAGCUCGAGGUGACGGUUCUCUUGGGCUUGUAAACGAUGACCAUAUUAACCCAAACAGCAGGAUUAAGACGAUUCGUGUGGAUGGAAAACCUCACUUAUGUUUAUUUGCUACAAGGAGCAUCUGUCCUGGUGAAGAGAUCCCAUACGAUUAUGGUGAUUCUGAUUGGCCAUGGAGAUGCACGACUUUUCUAUAGUGUGGUUGAACCGUCCACUCUUGAAGUCAACACUCUGUCCCAGUCAGAAGACACAGACGUAUAGAAGGUGACUCUGAAGAAGGACCGGUUACUAUUGGAUGAUCCGGACUGUGUUGAGUAGAUGUCACCUGUCAAAGAGCAUGUGCUGAAUGAGGAGCAGAGCGUUUGUGCCCC